UUGAGAAAAAACAUUCUGGAUAUUCCCUUCAAAUAUUUGUUCUGCAGUUGAUAAGGAAAACAUAAAACACUGCAACUCUUCCAUGAAACUUUGAUUGGCCUUAUCUUAUGAUGUUUGCAGAUUUAUUAAUAGCUAUGGGUGUAAUUGUAGGACUAAGGUUGGGGAUUAUUUUCUAAGAAUUUAUUUUUAGACAUACCAAAAAUGAAUACGAUAGUAUUGGCUGGGAAAUCUACUACUCGAAAAAUAUUUGAACACAUAUAAUGUCAUGAAGUCCGUUCAUGCUGAAGAAGUCAAAAGUCAAACAAGAAAGACGAUUGAAGGGCCAAGUGGAGUAUGAACGGAAAAAGUCAAAUCCCCUCAGAUUUAUACCUUAUGGAAUGCUCAUAGGCAAAAUUCCAUUUGCAUCUACGAAAGUUAGUAUCUUGGCAAGAUAAAUUUUGUUUAUAACAUUUUCGGAGUAAAUUUCAUCUCUGUAUUCAGUUUCUGCGGGUAUUUAAUCGAAUAAUAACACAAUUA